rnacentral:rRNA from 1 species
GACGAACGCUGGCGGCGUGCUUAACACAUGCAAGUCGAACGGAAAGGCCCUGCUUUUGUGGGGUGCUCGAGUGGCGAAAGGGUGAGUAACACGUUAGUAACCUGCCCUUGACUUUGGGAUAACUUCAGGAAACUGGGGCUAAUAACGGAUAGGAGCUCCUGCUGCAUGGUGGGGGUUGGAAAGUUUCGGCGGUUGGGGAUGGACUCGCGGCUUAUCAGCUUGUUGGUGGGGUAGUGGCUUACCAAGGCUUUGACGGGUAGCCGGCCUGAGAGGGUGACCGGCCACAUUGGGACUGAGAUACGGCCCAGACUCCUACGGGAGGCAGCAGUGGGGAAUAUUGCACAAUGGGCGGAAGCCUUAUGCAGCAACGCCGCGUGCGGGAUGACGGCCUUCGGGUUGUAAACCGCUUUCGCCUGUGACGAAGCGUGAGGGACGGUAAUGGGUAAAGAAGCACCGGCUAACUACGUG